UGGAGAGUCAAACUGGAAACCUCUUGCUUUGAAGCCUUUUAUCCAUGAUGCAGACCGUAGUCAGUUGCAUUCACUGCAGUUAGUACAGAGCUGGGAGGCGGAGAGGACAGAAUCUGCGUGAAUGUGGUGACUUCAGUAGACCCUAAUAGGAAGUUCAAAUAAUACAGUAUAUGUAUAACAACAUUUCAGCCAGGGAGGAAGAAGAGAACCUGACUACCGAACCAGAAGGGAAAACUGCUACACACCACCCUGGUUAUUAGGCACAGAGAAGACAUC